AACCCUAGACCUAAUCUCUAAGAACCCAAACGGCGCUGCCCUUCCCCAUCCGAUCCCUGCAGCGUUUCAACCCAUCAAAACUCGCCAAACUCAGGUGAGUUCACUCGCACACGCCCUUAUCCCACCACAUCAUCAAGAUGCUAGCGGUCUCUGAUAGAUUCCCUCUUCCUCACAUGCCUUUUCCUUGGCUUUUUGGAUUUUUACUCCUUAGACCGAAAUUAGGAAAAAUGGGGGGCGUAGGAUUGAGUGAAGUUGGAUCCACUCCCUCUAUUUGUCCCUUUUCCAUAAAAAAAGGGGGUAAAAAAUCAGAUUCGGCUGUUUGGAGAAAAAUUCGGAUAUUUCUUGGGGAGGAAGUGUAGAAGCUUCGAGAGGUGAGUAUAUAUAGUUGUUUUCUCAGAGGUUUCAGGGGAUUUUUUGGAUAGAAAAUUUGGAGAGGAAAAUUAGGGUUCUAGGAAAUGUUCUUCUUCUUCCUUUUUAUUCAUCUUCGUUUUUAGUUUAAUUCCAGAAACAAUACAAAAAUACAAAAAUAUUUGUUUCUUUUAGUUUGAUAUUCGCAUCUCUGUUUUUUUCAUCUUUAAAUCCGGAAAGUUCACUUUUACUAUGGAGUUCGAUUGAGUUCGAAAGUUGAGGUCUGUUCGAAGGUCACGGUUGCAGUUCUGAGGUUAAUUUGCUAUUUUGUACGUACCAACUUCUCACAUAUUGAAGAAAGUUCAUUACAGGUUCAUUUCUUUCCUCUGCUACUAUUUUGGCGUGCACAAAAUAUGAUGAGAGCUUAGGAUAAAAUGAUUGAGUUUUAGAUUUAGUAGAGGCACUUUGAACGAGUUCUGUUUCAUCUUUGUGCUUAAAGCAUUUUUCUGAGUUGGGAUUUAUUUGUCUUGAAUCUGUUUAAUUGAAUACCAACCUGAUUU
rnacentral:lncRNA from 1 species